rnacentral:sRNA from 1 species
CUGCAACAUCGGUCACCCCAUUGAUUGCCAGGGUUGAUUUCAGCUGCUUUGGCUGGCUAGGCCAAGUUU